rnacentral:rRNA from 1 species
GCUUCUUGAUUUAGUUUUUUCCUUACGUGUGUUUCUUUGGUUUUAUUACCUUUUGCAUCAUGAUUUGUCGAUUAUAUGAAAUUAUCUUGAUUGAUCCGAAGGGUGGCGAUUUUUGGUGCACUUGCUUAAUUUGGGCUUAAUAUUUUACGGGUAGUAAUAGAUUAGAGUGUAUCAAGGUAGUGAUAAAUUAUUCGUGUCUCCUUAUAUCUGAUUAGAAACAUUGUUCAUUUUGAUUAAGGCUAGUUGUUAUGAUAUGGUUAGUCUUUUAAGAGAUUUAAUUUUUUUUUUUCAUUCUGGGUUUAGAGGUUUCCUUGAUUUUAGAGUUUGUUAAAAAAAGGUUUGUUGAUGUUAUUAUGUCUUUAUUAGAUUUGUUUCCUGUAGUGAAUUAUUUUUUUUAUGAUAGAAUAAGUAGAAUUAGUUUAGUCUCUUUUUUUCUUUAUAUGGGUCGGUCUGUUUAUUAAAAACAUUUCCAUUUUGAAUUUUAGAUGGUAUUUACCUGCCCGAUGUUUGUUUAUCAAUGGCCGCAGUAUAUUGACUGUGCGAAGGUAGCAUAAUUAGUUGCCUCAUAAUUGGAGGAUUGUUUGAAUGGUUUGACUAGACUUAGUUAAGAUGGGGAUUUGGUUUGAAAUUGGUUUUGAGGUGCAGAAUCCUCGUUUAUUAAAUUAGACGGAAAGACCCCGAGAUCUUUAUACUUGUUUGUGUUUAUUUGGGGUAAAGGCAAAUUAUUUAUUUGCUUUUUGAUCCUUAUUUGGUGGUUAAAGAAUAAGGUUGUAGGUUUAGUUACCUCGGGGAUAACUGUGUAAGAAUCAAUUAGAGGCCAUAUCGAUUUGUUUAUUUGCCACCUCGAUGUUGACUUGGAGAUUUGCGUAGGCGCAGUAGUUUAUGUGGAGGGUCUGUUCGACCUAUAAUUCUCCUCAUGAGUUGAGUUAAGACCGGCGUGAGCCAGGUCGGUUCUUAUCUAUUUUUCAGUUUAUUUAGUACGAAAGGAAUAAUAUUCUUUUAGGUU